AUUGAACGCUGGCGGCGUGCCUAACACAUGCAAGUCGAGCGGCAGCGCGGGAGCAAUCCUGGCGGCGAGCGGCGGACGGGUGAGUAACGCUUGGGAAUCUGCCUGUUAGUGGGGGACAACCCGGGGAAACUCGGGCUAAUACCGCAUACGCACUACGGUGGAAAGCCGGGGACCGCAAGGCCUGGCGCUAACAGAUGAGCCCAAGUCGGAUUAGCUAGUUGGUAGGUAACGCCUACCAAGGCGACGAUCCGUAACUGGUCUGAGAGGACGACCAGUCACACCGGAACUGAGACACGGUCCGGACUCCUACGGGAGGCAGCAGUGGGGAAUAUUGGACAAUGGGGAAACCCUGAUCCAGCGACGCCGCGUGGGUGAAGAAGGCCUGCGGGUUGUAAAGCCCUUUCAGU
rnacentral:rRNA from 1 species